rnacentral:rRNA from 1 species
GACAUCCAGAGAACUUAGCAGAGAUGCUUUGGUGCCUUCGGGAACUCUGAGACAGGUGCUGCAUGGCUGUCGUCAGCUCGUGUUGUGAAAUGUUGGGUUAAGUCCCGNAACGAGCGCAACCCUUAUCCUUUGUUGCCAGCGGCUCGGCCGGGAACUCAAAGGAGACUGCCGGUGAUAAACCGGAGGAAGGUGGGGAUGACGUCAAGUCAUCAUGGCCCUUACGGCCAGGGCUACACACGUGCUACAAUGGCGCAUACAAAGAGAAGCGACCUCGCGAGAGCAAGCGGACCUCAUAAAGUGCGUCGUAGUCCGGAUUGGAGUCUGCAACUCGACUCCAUGAAGUCGGAAUCGCUAGUAAUCGUAGAUCAGAAUGCUACGGUGAAUACGUUCCCGGGCCUUGUACACACCGCCCGUCACACCAUGGGAGUGGGUUGCAAAAGAAGUAGGUAGCUUAACCUUCGGGAGGGCGCUUACCACUUUGUGAUUCAUGACUGGGGUGAAGUCGUAACAAGGUAAGCGUACUACA